rnacentral:rRNA from 1 species
AUGGCUGUCGUCAGCUCGUGCUGUGAAGUGUUGGGUUAAGUCCCGCAACGAGACGCAACCCCUAUCAUCUGUUGCCAGCAUUUAAGGUGGGGACGUCAGAUGAGACUGCCGGUGACAAACCGGAGGAAGGUGGGGACGACGUCAAGUCAUCAUGGCCCUUACGGCCUGGGCUACACACGUGCUACAAUGGUCGGUACAAAGGGUUGCCAAGCCGCGAGGUGGAGCUAAUCCCAUAAAACCGAUCGUAGUCCGGAUCGCAGUCUGCAACUCGACUGCGUGAAGUCGGAAUCGCUAGUAAUCGUGAAUCAGAAUGUCACGGUGAAUACGUUCCCGGGCCUU